rnacentral:rRNA from 1 species
UACGUAGGGGGCAAGCGUUGUCCGGAAUCAUUGGGCGUAAAGAGCGUGUAGGCGGCGCGGUAAGUCGGGUGUGAAAUCUCGGAGCUUAACUCCGAAACUGCAUUCGAUACUGCCGUGCUUGAGGACUGGAGAGGAGACUGGAAUUUACGGUGUAGCGGUGAAAUGCGUAGAUAUCGUAAGGAAGACCAGUGGCGAAGGCGGGUCUCUGGACAGUUCCUGACACUGAGGCACGAAGGUCAGGGGAGCAAACGGG